AUUGAACGCUGGCGGCAUGCCUUACACAUGCAAGUCGAACGGUAACAGGUCUUCGGAUGCUGACGAGUGGCGAACGGGUGAGUAAUACAUCGGAACGUGCCUAGUAGUGGGGGAUAACUACUCGAAAGAGUGGCUAAUACCGCAUGAGAUCUACGGAUGAAAGCAGGGGAUCGCAAGACCUUGUGCUACUAGAGCGGCCGAUGGCAGAUUAGGUAGUUGGUGGGAUAAAAGCUUACCAAGCCGACGAUCUGUAGCUGGUCUGAGAGGACGAUCAGCCACACUGGGAGGGGGACACGGCCCAGAGUCCUACGGGAGGCAGCAGUGGGGAAUUUUGGACAAUGGGCGAAAGCCUGAUCCAGCAAUGCCGCGUGCAGGAUGAAGGCCUUCGGGUUGUAAACUGCUUUUGUACGGAACGAAAAGCCCCGGGUUAAUACCCUGGGGUCAUGACGGUACCGUAAGAAUAAGCACCGGCUAACUACGUGCCAGCCGCCGCAGUAA
rnacentral:rRNA from 1 species